CAAAGUAAAAUGCGAAGUCGUUUUACUUAUAUUAGGGAAUGUUGGGCAUAUAAAACGGACUUAGCCGCUGACUACAAAAGCGGGAGCAAAAUGUCCCAUAUUUCUGGUAAUGAUGAGAUUUCCAACUAGUAACAAAUAUCAUCAAACAAUUUAACAUUGCGGGAAGAUGUAACCAUAGAUAUCUUAUAUACACUAGAUAGUGCAUCUAAUUAUUCUGUAAUUCAAAAAUUGAAGUCGUGAUUGCAGACUCAGAAUAUUUCCAUGAAAUGAGAAGAUUCGUUUGUUUUCUAUUUCUUAAACAGGGAACUUAAACAUUAAGUUAAACCUAUUCCAAAUACAUUUUCAAACUAUUCAAAUGAUGAAAGUUAUUGUUGUUUGUUAAGCGUUUAUUAGCGAGUGGGAAACUCCAACAUGGCCGCCAUCUAUUCAAAUGGGGGUAACCGCUGGAAUAUUCUUGGCUUCAAUUUUACUUAAAGAGAUGCGCUAUCUAGUGUAUAUAAGAUAUCUAUGGAUGUAACUCGAGACUAGAUCCAAACUUGACUAGCAGACAAUUUGAUGGAGACAGUAGAAUCCUGAAAGAAGCU